AUCUUUGCAUGGAUGAUGAUAC
rnacentral:rRNA from 1 species